rnacentral:rRNA from 1 species
UACGUAGGUGGCGAGCGUUAUCCGGAAUUACUGGGCGUAAAGGGCACGCAGGCGGCCAUUCAAGUCUGACGUGAAAGCUCCUGGCUUAACUGGGAGAGGUCGUUGGAAACUGAGUGGCUUGAGGCAAUGAGAGGGGUGCGGAAUUCCAGGUGUAGUGGUGGAAUGCGUAGAUAUCUGGAGGAACAUCAGUGGCGAAAGCGGCACCCUGGCAUUGACCUGACGCUCAUGUGCGAAAGCGUGGGGAGCGAACGGG